rnacentral:rRNA from 1 species
ACAAGCAGCGGAGCAUGUGGUUUAAUUCGAAGCAACGCGAAGAACCUUACCAAGACUUGACAUCCCCUGACAGCUGUGAAAGGCAGUGUCUCUUCGGAGCAGGGAGACAGGUGGUGCAUGGUUGUCGUCAGCUCGUGUCGUGAGAUGUUGGGUUAAGUCCCGCAACGAGCGCAACCCUUAUCCUUAGUUACCAGCACGUAAAGGUGGGGACUCUAGGGAGACCGCCGGGGACGACUCGGAGGAAGGUGGGGACGACGUCAAAUCAUCAUGCCCCUUAUGUCUUGGGCUACACACGUGCUACAAUGGCCGCAACAGAGGGAAGCGAGAGCGCAAGCUGGAGCAAAACCCUAAAAAGCGGUCCCAGUUCGGAUUGUGGGCUGCAACCCGCCCACAUGAAGUCGGAGUUGCUAGUAAUCGCGAAUCAGCAUGUCGCGGUGAAUGCGUUCCCGGGCCUU